AGUGAACGCUGGCGGCGUGCCUAAUACAUGCAAGUCGAACGGAGUGGCGCACGGGUGAGUAAUAUAUAGCUAAUCUGCCCCUUGCUGGAGGACAACAGUUAGAAAUGACUGCUAAUUCCCCAUAUCAAGGGAUGAGACUAUAUCGUAUCAGCUAGUCGGUGGGGUAACGGCCUACCGAGGCUAUGACGCGUAACUGGUCUGAGAGGAUGAUCAGUAAAAUUGGAAGUGAGACACGGUCAAGAAUCCUACGGGAGGGGGCAGUAGGGAAUAGUGCGCAAGGGGGGAAAGCCUGACGCAGCAACGCCGCGUGAAGGAUGACAAUUUUCGGAGCGUAAACUCCUUUUGUUAGGGAAGCGGUACCUAACGAAUAAGCACCGGCUAACUCCGUACCAGCCGCCGCGGUAAUAC
rnacentral:rRNA from 1 species